UUGCACUCCAGCCUGGGCAAUAGAGCGAGACUCUGUCUUAAAACAAAAAAUCCGGGGGCGGGGUUGGGGGGGCGGGCUGGUCUGAUAAAGUAUCACUUGAGCAGAGAGUGGAAUGAAAUAAAGGAUAGCAAGCCAUGUACAGAGUACAGCAGGCAUGGAGGAGGGAGCAAGGCCGGUGUCCCCGAGCAGCAGCAGGGAAGCCGGAGUGGCUGGACUUGUGUGGGUAUGGGGAAGAGGGGAGAGAGGUCACUCAUCUCUGAGAGGCCCGGGACUUUGUUUUGUCCCCUGCUGUACCCCAGCACUUAGAGUGGGAGCUGGCACAGAGAAGGCACUCAAUUGAUGUUUGCUGAGCAGACAAAUGCCUGGAGUAGACAUCAGAGCAGGGUUUGGUGGCAGGGUGGGUCAGGAGAGAGUUCACUCAACAGCCUGGUGAUAGGGGAGAACAAGAGGCCAGAGGGUAUCCAUCUAUGAUGGGGACCAGGGGUCCCUGCUGGGCAGCAGUGUGGGAGACACACGGAUCCUGGCCACACCUCAGCCCUCCCUCCCUUGCAGAGGUUCCGGUUCUCUGGUGAUCUGGACCGUCCCGACUGGGUCCUGGCUGAGGUCAACACACUGGCCAAGAUGGUUGAGUGCACAGGGUCUACUCUGGGUGGAGGAGGGGCGCUGGGCUGGGGAUUGUGGGUUUAGAUGAUGGUGAGGUUUCUCUGGGGUUAGGGCCUCAGUGCUCUAAGCCUGUGUUACCAUGCUUUGUGACCGUGAUCAGUGGCUGGCCUGCUCUGAGCCAGUCCCCAGGAAGGAGGCGUGAGGUUUACCAGCCUGGCUGAUUUAAGGAAUUCUCUUGCAGUCCUCUGUGAAGUUGUGGCUACUCUGCAGCCAGGUACUAAAGAGCUGCUGGGACGGGGGAUUGAUGUGACUACAACACCCAGCACCCCACUGUCCCAUGACCUUAUGACCCCCAGUGCCCUGAAACUCUGCACUAGGCCCAGGGAAAUGGGUAACCCAGUCUGUCAGCCUCUCUGGGCACCUCCCAUACUUCUUUCCAGCCUAUCUGUUCCUUAUCGCAGGACCCAGGCUGUGGAUGAGGGGCUGGUGAACAGGGGCAUGGCACCCUCUUAAGGUCACCUUUCCCCAUGGUACGAAAACAUUCUGAAGCUCAAGGCUGAUGCCAAGUUUGUGUGGCCAAGCACAGUGUCGAUGGCGGAUGCUUGUCCAGUGAAGUGCAGCAGCUGGGGCUGCCCAAAGAGCUACUCCGUUCUACCCCCAGAGCACGUGGCCAGCCUGUGCCACUCUUAUGAGGAGAAGCAAAGCCCCUUGCAGAAGCACUUGGGGCCUUCAACCUACGCAGUAAGUAUGAGCCCAGCCAGUGUCCGCGCUCAUUCUAGAAGGUGCACGCAGCAUGCAAAGUGCAUGGAGAGUCCAGGGAGACGACUUAACCACGGUCACAUGCCCAGCAGCUGCAGAGCUGGGACCUGGCCCUGGGUGUCCUGACUCCACGGACUCUGUGGUAUGUACGUACAGGAUCAGAC